AGCGUAUGUUAAAGUUGUUGCAGUUAAAAAGCUCGUAGUUGAAUUUCGGGAUUAGUACGCUGGUCGUGCCUUCGGUACGUACUGGUGUUACUGAUUUCUACCUUCUGACGAACCAUCAUGUCAUUAAUUUGGUGUGGUGGGGAAUCAGGACUGUUACUUUGAAAAAAUUAGAGUGUUUAAAGCAGGCUCGCGCUUGAAUACAUUAGCAUGGAAUAAUGAAAUAGGACGUUGAUCCUAUUUUGUUGGUUUCUAGGAUUGACGUAAUGAUUAAUAGGGAUAGUUGGGGGCAUUAGUAUUCAAUUGUCAGAGGUGAAAUUCUUGGAUUUAUUGAAGACUAACUACUGCGAAAGCAUUUGCCAAGGAUGUUUUCAUUAAUCAAGAACGAAAGUUAGGGGAUCGAAGACGAUCAGAUACCGUCGUAGUCUUAACCAUAAAC
rnacentral:rRNA from 1 species